AGCAAACGCUGGCGGCAUGCCUAACACAUGCAAGUCGAACGGCAGCGCGGGAGCUUGCUCCUGGCGGCGAGUGGCGAACGGGUGAGUAAUAGCUCGGAACGUACCGAGAGGUGGGGGAUAGGGUAGCGAAAGUUACGCUAAUACCCCCUAUUCUGUGAGGGUGAAAGGGGGGGGUGGCGCAACCUCAAGCUUUUGGAGCGGCCGAUGUCGGAUUAGCUAGGUGGUGAGGUAAAGGCUCACCAAGGCGACGAUCCGUAGCGGGUCUGAGAGGAUGAUCCGCCACACUGGGACUGAGACACGGCCCAGACUCCUACGGGAGGCAGCAGUGGGGAAUUUUGGACAAUGGGGGCAACCCUGAUCCAGCCAUGCCGCGUGAGUGAAGAAGGCCUUCGGGUUGUAAAGCUCUUUCGCGAGGGAAGAAAGCGCACUGGUUAAUACCUGGUGUGGAUGACGGUACCUUGAUAAGAAGCACCGGCUAACUACGUGCCAGCAGCCGCCGUAA
rnacentral:rRNA from 1 species